rnacentral:rRNA from 1 species
UACGGAGGGUGCAAGCGUUAUCCGGAUUUACUGGGUUUAAAGGGUGCGUAGGUGGGUCUGUAAGUCAGUGGUGAAAUCUCCGGGCUUAACCCGGAAACUGCCAUUGAUACUAUAGAUCUUGAAUAUCCUGGAGGUGAGCGGAAUAUGUCAUGUAGCGGUGAAAUGCUUAGAUAUGACAUAGAACACCAAUUGCGAAGGCAGCUCAAUACGGGAUUAUUGACACUGAGGCACGAAAGCGUGGGGAUCAAACAGG